rnacentral:ncRNA from 2 species
CCGUGGGAUGAAUCCCACGGCUAACAUCAAGCGCCCCGACGGGGCU